rnacentral:rRNA from 1 species
UACGGAGGGUGCGAGCGUUAAUCGGAAUAACUGGGCGUAAAGGGCACGCAGGCGGGCUUUUAAGUGGGAUGUGAAAUCCCCGGGCUUAACCUGGGAAUUGCAUUUCAGACUGGGAGUCUAGAGUACUGUAGGGAGGGGUAGAAUUCCACGUGUAGCGGUGAAAUGCGUAGAGAUGUGGAGGAAUACCGAUGGCGAAGGCAGCCCCUUGGGCAUGUACCGACGCUCAUGUGCGAAAGCGUGGGGAGCAAACAGG